GACGAACGCUGGCGGCGUGCCUAAUACAUGCAAGUUGAGCGCUGAAGGUUGGUACUUGUCCCGACUGGAUGAGCAGCGAACGGGUGAGUAACGCGUGGGGAAUCUGCCUUUGAGCGGGGGACAACAUUUGGAAACGAAUGCUAAUACCGCAUAAAAACUUUAAACACAAGUUUUAAGUUUGAAAGAUGCAAUUGCAUCACUCAAAGAUGAUCCCGCGUUGUAUUAGCUAGUUGGUGAGGUAAAGGCUCACCAAGGCGAUGAUACAUAGCCGACCUGAGAGGGUGAUCGGCCACAUUGGGACUGAGACACGGCCCAAACUCCCACGGGAGGCAGCAGUAGGGAAUCUUCGGCAAUGGACGAAAGUCUGACCGAGCAACGCCGCGUGAGUGAAGAAGGUUGUCGGAUCGUAAAACUCUGUUGGUAGAGAAGAACGUUGGUGAGAGUGGAAAGCUCAUCAAGUGACGGUAACUACCCAGAAAGGGACGGCUAACUACGUG
rnacentral:rRNA from 1 species